rnacentral:rRNA from 1 species
UACGUAGGGUGCGAGCGUUAAUCGGAAUUACUGGGCGUAAAGCGUGCGCAGGCGGCGCCGCAAGUCGAGUGUGAAAUCCCCGAGCUUAACUUGGGAAUUGCGCUCGAAACUACGGUGCUGGAGUGUGGCAGAGGGAGGUGGAAUUCCACGUGUAGCGGUGAAAUGCGUAGAGAUGUGGAGGAACACCGAUGGCGAAGGCGGCAUCCUGGACCAUUACUGACGCUGAGGCGCGAAAGCUAGGGGAGCAAACGGG